UCCUCUGUAGUUCAGUCGGUAGAACGGCGGACUGUUAAUCCGUAUGUCACUGGUUCGAGUCCAGNUCAGAGGAGCCA
rnacentral:tRNA from 1 species